rnacentral:rRNA from 5 species
AUACAACUUUCAACAACGGAUCUCUUGGCUCUCGCAUCGAUGAAGAACGCAGCGAAAUGCGAUAAGUAAUGUGAAUUGCAGAAUUCAGUGAAUCAUCGAAUCUUUGAACGCACCUUGCGCUCCUUGGUAUUCCGAGGAGCAUGCCUGUUUGAGUGU